GAGAGCUUGCUCUGUAGCGGUUUCCUUCAGAGCAGGUGGUGACUGCUCCUUGGGGAGCAAGGAGGAGGCCCAGGCCGCG
rnacentral:miRNA from 1 species